AUUGAACGCUGGCGGAAUGCUUCACACAUGCAAGUCGAACGAUGAAGUCUAGCUUGCUAGACGGAUUAGUGGCGAACGGGUGAGUAAUAUAUCGGAACGUAUCCAUUAAUGGGGGAUAACUAGUCGAAAGAUUGGCUAAUACCGCAUACGUCCUACGGGAGAAAGCUGGGGAUCGUAAGACCUGGCGUUAAUGGAGCGGCCGAUAUCUGAUUAGCUAGUUGGUGAGGUAAAGGCUCACCAAGGCGACGAUCAGUAGCUGGUCUGAGAGGACGACCAGCCACACUGGAACUGAGACACGGUCCAGACUCCUACGGGAGGCAGCAGUGGGGAAUUUUGGACAAUGGGCGAAAGCCUGAUCCAGCCAUUCCGCGUGAGUGAAGAAGGCCUUCGGGUUGUAAAGCUCUUUCGCAAGGGAAGAAAACUUAUCCUCUAACAUAGGGUGAGGUUGACGGUACCUUGAUAAGAAGCACCGGCUAACUACGUGCCAGCCGCCGCAGUAAAAC
rnacentral:rRNA from 1 species